CUGAGAGCAGGCUCUGGUGUCAAUGGCACAGAAGAGCUGGUGAGCUGUGACCAACUUACCUUCUAUCCAGGCACAGAUCCAGGGCUUUGAGUUGGCCCGCCCCAACAUCUACCCCAUCUACAAUUUGCAGGACUAGUCCUGCAGGAUCUCCAUGACACAGGGCAACAACGGUCCUGUGAGUCCUGGUGAGGAUCCAGAACUGAUAGUGCAAUGAACAUUUGCGAGUAAAGCUGUUUGGGCAAAAGGCCUUGAUAUAUAAUAACUUUGUAUCUCCCAGACCAACUGGAGUGUCUCCUCCUGAGUACUCAGCCUACGAUCCCAAGGGACUGAGUUGGCUCCAGUGCAGUGUACACGGAAGUGGCACUUGCUAUUUGGGGCUUGGCCUCAGAACUAUCCUGGGGACCACCACCUGGAACUAAGAAGCCUACAGUCUCUGCAGCCCAGAUGAGAGAGGAGAGCACGUAAGGCAGGAGCUAUAGAGACUGAAAUGUCUCACUCGUGGUGGCGGCUGAGAAGUGGAACAAGGAUGGCGCUGUUUCUCUAUUGGUGCUGGACAAGUUUAUUGGUGGACAUGGCAGGGACAAGUCCACUUUGAAAGAGAAAGUGGGAAUUAGGUGCAGAAACGUAGGAAAUUAAUUAGCAGUCUGUCUGAUCAAUGACUGCACGAAGAGAGGUCAUUUGCUUGUGCUUGUAACAAAGGAAUCUCUUGGGUUUCAGAAAACUAACCUGUCUAGCCACAAAACCAACCUGUGGGCAGGGUUUACAUGGGGGAAGGGCUCUUUACACAGCCCAUCUCCAGUGUUUUCAAUCAUCCAUCACUCCUGAGGGCUCACUAGAAAAUCUGAUGGAAAAGUCUUCCACACCAGAAACUUCUACAGCGACUGCCUCAACGUGAUGAAUAUAAAUAUACUAUGCAUGUACACGGCCGUAGUACUUACCCAUCAAGAAUACUGACAAAUAUAAGAUUGCCUGACUAUACUUUCAUUAUUUUGACUCACUAAACUAAAAUGUAAGGCUAGAGAAGGUAAAUGUCUAGAAAGAAGUGGACAUUUUACCCCUGACAUUUACUCAACCCCAGUGGUUACUAUUAAUGAAAUGUAACAUAGUCUUUUGGAACAUGUGCAUGUACGUCCACACACACACUUAUACAUACUACAUAUCAACACUCAAAAUUUGGAUCGUACCACUUAUUCUGUGAGAACGUUCUUUUCGCGUGUGGGAUAGCCACGCCCACUCGUUGCCGAAUGAGCCACAAGGUAAUUGGAUGAAGGCAGGUUAAGGCUCUGUGUAGUCUGGAGUGGAAACGUAAACACCGUUGAUGGCAGUGGAGACAAUGGUUUCAGAAGUCAUUUUCUUUCUUUUUCUUAAAAGAUUAAUUUUUAAUUAUGUGUGCAUGUCUAUACCUGAGUGUGGGUUUGUGAACAAAUGCAGUGUCUAGAGAGGCCAGAAGAGGGCGUCGGAUCCCUUGGAGCAAGAGUUACAGGAGGUUGUAAACUGUAAUGAAAUCAAUUAAAAGACCAGUCUCUGGAUAUUUACUAGAAUGACUAAGAAGCGAAUACACUCCUUCAAGAACGGACAGCAACUUCCAGUGGCAGCCCAGACAUGAAGAGCUCCAAGGGAAGAACACGGGCUUCUACUUACCUACCUUUGCCGCUUGCCAAAUGCAUCCCCCCUGCUGCUGUCACUGCUGCUAGCCAAACUCAGUCUCCUGGGCCUUCCAAUAUGGACCAAAAGACCAGCCACUCUUCAGGAGUCCUCCGGGUCUUCUGCACCAGAACUGGCACGUUCUGGUCACGGCCUCAUGGUUAUCAGUCUCUCCAGAGUACAGCUGUUGUGUGAAAUAUGAAAACAAAACCAAAUCCAUGCUAUGGCUGGCUAGGCACCAGCAGACAGGCCGGCCUGCUCUCGGCCCAGCAGACUCAAGACUUAGAGCUCCGAAAUCGCUCUCUCCACCCCGCUAGCUAAGUUCCCAUGGCUGGCUGUUGUCGCGCCCACCCUACUCUUCCAAAUUCCCGCCGCUGGCUGGGGUAUACUCUUGCACACCUAUGUCACCAUUACCUUUCUCUGGAAUUCAGUGAGUCGCCGUGUGAAGGAAAACACCACACAAUCUUAGUUUAGAAUUACAGAUAACACAAUCGCUGGGCAUAGAGCCUAGCAUUCUAAUUUUAUAAGCUACUCUAUGUUAGAAAUCCUCCAGUAGGGAUCCACCACUCAAACCACCAGCCUCCGGCUUCUUACAUCGUAUGCCUCUAGACUCUCUGGAGUCCAAAACCCAUUCCUUCCUCCUGCGUUCCCUUUUCCUCCCUCUGACCCGGAAGUCCUGCCUCCUUCUCUCCCAGUGAUUGGUUUCUUGUAAUGUUUAUUUAUUAGGGGAAAAUCUACCACAUACAGCCUGCAUUGUAUAAGCCAAUACUCUCGCUGAACCUCCUUUGUAAUAUACAUCCUAUCAGUUUUUUUUUUCCUUUAGAGAACCCUAAUACACCAGACACAAGCAUGUAUAUGUAUUCUACAUCUGUAUUUGAUACAUUAAUAGUUUGCUAUUAAUAGUUUGUUGAACUAUUAUACUUUAUACAUAUUGAUAUUGUAUAUUAUGUGCAUAAACACACAUACAUAUUUAUUAAUAAACUUAUUAUAUCGACUGAGUAAACCGAGGCUGUCACUCCUGUCAACAAAGGAUUGAUAAUAUCCAGAAUAUACCAUGCCUGGGCAGCAAGUGGUCCUGGUGGCAUAGGUGUGGCCUGUCUGAGGGUGUAAGAGCAUGAGAACUGGACCUACCCUGUCUGGGGCAGUGCUGGAGAGCUGGCCCUCGCGACACGAGCAUGGGAUAGUUGUCAGCCUGACCAGCGGAGCUACCAUCCAGAGCCAGAUCCAGAGCCAUGAGUUGGCCCUAUUCCAUCUGUGAACUGCUGCCACGUAUGAAGGGCCAGCCUUACAGAUCCUAAGCUGCAGAUCUCCAAGACACAGGGCAACAACAGGCUAUCCAAAAGGAGUCCUGGUGAGAAUCCAGUGUUAACAGUGUAGCAUUAGCUGGAGGCCUCAAACCAGACCAAUGAUUCACUACAAUAAAUAUUUGCAUGUAGAGCUGUUUGGGCAAAAGGGUUUACUGUGUGACACACUGCAGCUUCCAUGGUGAAAUGUUUUACUUAUUGUUUUCUUUGGGAGGAGGGCUACAGGUGCAAGGAUGAAGGAUAU